rfam:Chroococcidiopsis thermalis PCC 7203, complete genome.
GUCAGCAACCCCCGACUUGAAGUCGGGGGCUUCAGGCAGAUAACCUGAAGCCCUAGUUGACCAGACUAUCGUUUGAGGCAAGUGUUAAAGACCUACUUUAGGAUGCUUGCUAGUCCUGAACCCUAGAACCAGACGAUUAAACAGACUUAUUGGGUUAAGUCAGUGUCGUUUGGAUAGUUACCGACCUCAAACAAUGUCGAAGCAAACAUUAC